CGGCUUACUGCAGAAACAUGGAGCAACAAAACCCCAAAUUACCGAUUCCUCGACUGCCUUCCACAUCUCAGAAAACAUUUAAAAAGUUUAAAAGCCCUUCUUCAAAAGUGGCUGUAAGACGUUUGAGACAGUCGAGUAGAAUUUACAUUGGAGAUUAUUUUACACAGGAUGGAGAGAUUUUCGUGAUCUACACGGCCUGAAAACGGAUGAAGAGUUGGCAAAGUAUCUUUUAGACAGUCAUCAGUCCAAAUAUGAAGCAUCAACAUUUACACCAUUGAAGCGCCAACUGUGUAUUUCUCCAACACCAGUGCCAGCUCUGUCUAGCAUUCAUGGAGAAUCAUCUGAAAGGGAUGAUAAUUUGGAGGAGGUGAUGGAACAAGGUGAAACUAAAAAAGAAGGAUCUUCACAAAUGUUAUCUUGUGUGGGAAUUGAAGCAAACAUUGACGAGGAAGAGUUCAACAAUAUUCAAAACUCUGAUAGAGUCAUCAGAUGACACAUGGUCACCAAACAGAGAACCAGAAGUUGAUUCGUCUUCAGAGGAGGACGAAACCAUCGAGAUGGACAGCGGUACUGAUGACCGCGGUGAUGAGGACUACACACCUUAUAUACACAUAAGGUAAUUCCUUUCGUUUAACAUUCUAUAAAACUGCAAUAGCGCAUAGUUAAUAAAAAGCUUUUGUUCACAGGACUGGAGCAGCAUUACAAUAAACAUUACAACUUGAGACUCUGCAAGAAAUUAACAUAGAGGAUACAGUUCAUGACUGUAAUAUCCCAGAAGCAACUGACCGACGUUUGACAAGCAAGAAAGGUCUUCCUCGACGCUACAAGCUAAGGCCUGAGGGUCCAAGGCGUUAUGGUUUGCUGUCCGGAGUUCCUGCACCAUCAACAGAGGAACUUCUACAACACCUACGGACUUGCGGUGAUGGUAAAACUUUGCCACAGACAUAGGUGUUGGGGGAGGCAAGAGAAAACCCAAAACCUUCUUUAUUUUUGUUUCGUGUGUUUUUUUAAAUAAAGAUAUAUUUUGGGGAAAUAAGGACUAAUAAUUUAAAAAUUUAUGUAAAAUGUUGGAGGUAGACAUAAUUUUUUUGUUGUUGUUGUGCAGGAGUUUUAAAAUUUAUGGUAUUUUUACAAAUGCAACACAGAGUUGUGCUUUAGAACACUUUAUUAGAGCAUCAAACAAAAAUAUAUAAAAACAAACUUAUGUAAAAUAUCAAAUAUAUACAUUUAUUUACAAUCGUCUUGGAAUAAAACCAGUGUAGUUACCAUUGGGGUCAGGGAAUUUUGCAGAAUAAACUCCUCCAUGUGUGGUACAGUUGAAAUACAUGUCUGGGGAGGCUGUUGGCAGCAUUUCUUUUCCAAAUCAGUUGGCAUAUCUCUGCAGUGGGAGCAUACACACCAUGAAGGUUGAUUGGGUGUUGGAGGUGUUGUGGCAGGUGGACCAGAGAGGGCAAGUACAUCAAAGAGAACACCAGUGUCUGUCCAGCACCAUGGUAAGGAUGUCAAUAGCCUGCUGAGGGUUCAGGUUCUGUAUGUGUUGCUACAACAGUGGAAAGAGAUGCUACAGCAACAGUUUUUAGGAUACCGUAAAUCCUCUAAUACAGGCCCGGGCCUGUAUUUGACUCAAGCUCAUCAAGCUCCAGGCCUUUAUUGGAAGGAGGGCCAGUAUUAGAGGCAGGCCUCUAUUUCUAUUUGAGCAAAAUGAACUAAUGGUUUGCUGGAGUUUUUGACAAUUAAAAUUGUGCCCACAUUUUCAAAGUUAAACACAUUUCUUUUAACAACGGUAGUUUCUGCUUCAGCCCUCUCCCCCCUCCCCCUGCGCAGCAGCCGCAAACUCACUGAUGUGCCUGCAGCCUCUCGGAGUUCCUGCUGCUCUAAACAUUAAAAUAAUUAUUUCAUUUUCUGUUCCUCACUUCUGAUGACCUUCAGUGGUGUCUGUUUGUUGCAACAGCAGGUACAAAAACUAACUUGUUUUUAUUUGUCUAUUUUUCUGUCCUGUCUGUUUAUUAUCUUCCUGCAUCUCCUCUCAAUCCUAAAGAAAAACUGCUGCCUGGGUUCAUAUAUAUUCACCUCAUGAGUUACCUUUGAACUGCAGUUCUAAAAUAUCUACCGACCGCAAAAACAGCGGAGCGCUCGCUGUUUGGCGGCCGUAUCAGUGAUCAGUGCGUUGGAGGACAAGUUGAUGCGCGCACCGCCCCGCUCCACAGCAUGCAGCGAAAUGCAUCAGGCGCAAAUAAAAGACAGAAAACAUUAAAGGAAUUGAACCGACAUGAACGAUCGCGUGUCAGUACCUACGGUCUGGCACAGCGCAUUGCUGAUCACAGAGAAUGUGAUCAUACGAUAAUUCAAUAGGGAGCGUGGUUUCACAGACGCGGAAGUGAGAGCGUCGGUGAAACGCCGGCUGCUCUAGGAAACCCCCGAGCGUUCGAGCGUCAACGAAGUGACACAGAAAUGCCGGGCUUUCCAGAAGUAAGUAAGAUAACUUACUAUGAGCUGAUAGUUCGUUGGAUUGAUCGGUAGGUUGGAAACUCUGAUCAUGAAUCUGAAGAAACGAUGACUGAGCUGUAAAGGCGACUUCCGUUUAUAGCCGCGGUUUGUGACGUAGAUGCGACGUGGAGGGAAUCCCCGCGAGGGGCAUGCUGGGAGUCCCUACUUCGCGGAUUUUCACCUAUCGCGGCCAGGUCUGGAACGCAUCUACCGCGAUAAACGAGGGAUUACUGUAGUUCAUACACCCCCUACUGCUGCUCCCCAUAGUGUUCUGCAGCAUAAUCAGCACGUUCUCUUUGAACUUGAUAGUGUAAUGACCUGGCUGGGGUUGUAAGCCAGGUGCAUUCUGGGUAUUGUGUUAUAUGUGUUUCCUAUCGUUCUGCUAGUUCCUAUGUGCUGAUUUGCGUGUUGUGUGAGUGUUAUGUAAGCCACAGGGAAGGUGAUGUGUGUUCUGUGGAGCGGGUUGAAUUAGCAUGGUUAACUGACACCGUGACUCUGUGUGGUAGGAGCGUGAUAGAGGAUCGUGUCUGAAGCGUUAUAAAGCUUGAAGAAAAAGCCUAAUAAAUGUCUGCGUGAACCCCUACUGCCCCCUGCUGGUUGAUUUAGGGACUAUAACCCUGCCGCUGGGACGCUUGUACUUGCUUGUUACCACAUUCCAUCCGGCCACAAUAAGAGACCGGCCAUUAUUUACCUCCGCUGACUCUGACACCGGCCAAAAUUGGAGACCCGGCCUUUAAUUGAAUACCGGCCUGUAUUAGAGGAUUUACGGUAAUUUAGUGUAAUUUUGUUAUGCUUACACGUACAAAGUCUAUUCGCUCGGAACAAAGAUUCCGAACUCGAGAGAGAUCUUCAUCUCCAAGGUCCACAGCUGAGUGUCUCACACUUCUUCAGCCUCUGGAUGCACCACGGCUUUGAGAUGAUGGUGGGCAUCUCCUUUUUGCACCACGUCUUGAGGAUGCAAUAGGAGGUUCAAACUCUUCCUCAGAGGAUUCCUCAAUCACUGAACUCUAAAUU